rnacentral:rRNA from 1 species
UGGGGAAUUUUGGACAAUGGGCGCAAGCCUGAUCCAGCCAUGCCGCGUGCGGGAAGACGGCCUUCGGGUUGUAAACCGCUUUUGUCAGGGAAGAAAUCCUUUGAGCUAAUACCUCUUGGGGAUGACGUUACCUGAAGAAUAAGCACCGGCUAACUACGUGCCAGCAGCCGCGGUAAUACGUAGGGUGCAAGCGUUAAUCGGAAUUACUGGGCGUAAAGCGUGCGCAGGCGGUUAUGCAAGACAGAUGGGAAAUCCCCGGGCUCAACCUGGGAACUGCAUUUGUGACGGCAGAGCUGGAGUGCGGCAGAGGGGGAUGGAAUUCCGGGUGUAGCAGUGAAAGGCGUAGAUAUGCGGAGGAAAACCGAUGGCGAAGGAAAUCCCCUGGGCCUGCACUGAAGCUAAGGCACGAAAGAGUGGGGAGCAAACA